rnacentral:ncRNA from 3 species
UCGAUGUCGGCUCUUCCUA